GACGAACGCUGGCGGCGUGCCUAAUACAUGCAAGUAGAACGCUGAAGGAGGAGCUUGCUCUUUCCGGAUGAGUUGCGAACGGGUGAGUAACGCGUAGGUAACCUGCCUGGUAGCGGGGGAUAACUAUUGGAAACGAUAGCUAAUACCGCAUAAGAGUAGAUAUCGCAUGAUAGCUGCUUGAAAGGUGCAAUUGCACCACUACCAGAUGGACCUGCGUUGUAUUAGCUAGUUGGUGAGGUAACGGCUCACCAAGGCAACGAUACAUAGCCGACCUGAGAGGGUGAUCGGCCACACUGGGACUGAGACACGGCCCAGACUCCUACGGGAGGCAGCAGUAGGGAAUCUUCGGCAAUGGACGGAAGUCUGACCGAGCAACGCCGCGUGAGUGAAGAAGGUUUUCGGAUCGUAAAGCUCUGUUGUAAGAGAAGAACGAGUGUGAGAGUGGAAAGUUCACACUGUGACGGUAUCUUACCAGAAAGGGACGGCUAACCACGUGCCAGCAGCCGCGGUAAUACGUAGGUCCCGAGCGUUGUCCGGAUUUAUUGGGCGUAAAGCGAGCGCAGGCGGUUAGAUAAGUCUGAAGUUAAAGGCUGUGGCUUAACCAUAGUACGCUUUGGAAACUGUUUAACUUGAGUGCAAGAGGGGAGAGUGGAAUUCCAUGUGUAGCGGUGAAAUGCGUAGAUAUAUGGAGGAACACCGGUGGCGAAAGCGGCUCUCUGGCUUGUAACUGACGCUGAGGCUCGAAAGCGUGGGGAGCAAACAGG
rnacentral:rRNA from 1 species